rnacentral:rRNA from 1 species
CGACUGGCGACCGGCGCACGGGUGAGUAACACGUAUCCAACCUGCCUCAUACUCGGGGAUAGCCUUUCGAAAGAAAGAUUAAUACCCGAUGGCAUAAUUAGACCGCAUGGUCUUAUUAUUAAAGAAUUUCGGUUAUCGAUGGGGAUGCGUUCCAUUAGGCAGUUGGUGAGGUAACGGCUCACCAAACCUUCGAUGGAUAGGGGUUCUGAGAGGAAGGUCCCCCACAUUGGAACUGAGACACGGUCCAA